CCCCAUGAAUUGGAGAAGAAGAGUAGGAGGAGGCUUUGGAGGAGGGUUCUGACUGUGAUCAGCCUGUUUCAGCCCACAGUAAGCCUGGAGCAGCCUGCAGAGCAAGCGCGUUCACAGGAUGCCCUGGAGGAAUAUCCUCAGAGGACCUUUUUGGUAGUAAACUCAACAAACCUACAGUGAUGGAAGCAGAAGAGCCUCAACCCAGACUUUCUGUCGAUGAAGUGCCACAUCUCUUGGACUAGGUCUAGUUUCCUCUACAGCAGCAAGACCAGAGGAGAGUCAGUGCUUCAGACCGGACCCCAUCUGCAUUUCAACAGUGGGAGGGGAAACAUGUGGCACAAGCUCUCCCUUCCAGCAGGUUAGGUUCCUGUGCAAUAUCUGGUAACAGCGGCAGUGGACAUUUUUCUAACCAAAAUAUAAAUACGCUGUGUCUAUGUUUAUGACAGUGGACAUUCCAGCGAUGUUUUGUUGUUAAUUGGGCCAAAUCUCCAGGCCGCAAAUUGGCAUAAAUCCACUGAAACCAAAGGAGCAGCACCGAGUCACAUUAAUUAAGAAACUUGCCAAAUGACCAGCCAAAUUGUUACCUUCUGUACAUCAUCAUAUAAGAGAAACAUGUUCUGUUUUUAAAGAAAGACCUGAAAAGAAAGAUGGUCAUAUCAAUGAAGAGGAAAAUGCAGACACCAUGAGAAGCACAGGCCUACAGAACAAGUGGAUUAGUGGGAAUUGAUGUCCAUCAAUAUGAUUCAUAUGAUCAAUAAAAGGAGAGUAUAAAGGCAACUUGUCCCAUCCUUGGCCCAUCUUGGAGGAGCUGAAUGGAUUAUAACACGGGGAAAUCAUCAUGCAGUAGAUCAAGGAGUAACCAAAAAGCUGAUGCUGACAAUAAAUGUGCAGCUAUAGCAGGCAUCUGUGUGCAUAUGCAUACAUGCGUUCGUUUGCUUUGGAUAACAAAAAUUCAAGCGUAGAGCAGAUUCACUGCAAUAGAAAAUAAAACAGAACAGAUGGAGAGACUUCUGCCAGGCUAGAACUGAAGCAGGGGAAUAAAUCCUAUGUCUCCUACUCAAGAUACCUUAGUUCCCCAAGUAGAAAUGAACCACUGCAUUUCAGACAGUAAAGACUUUGAAAGGCAGCCAAGUGUGAUGUAGCCAUGUUGAUCCUGGAGAGACUAUAAUGAUCUGAGGCAUGAGCCAAAGCACAAUGAAGAAAAAUGGGGUCUUUGAGUUGUCACCAGUGGGCUUUUGCAUACAGGUACAACUUAUUAGAUGUCCUGAUAUAAAGACAGUUGGGGACUCUUUCCACUGAUUUCUACGGGCUUUGGGUUGGACACUUCGGGCUUCAUUCCUACAACAUUAGUUGUUUUUUUUAAGUUCAAUUAAUCAACAUUUUAAUAAGA